ACCAACAGGGAUUGCCCUAGUAACGGCGAGUGAAGCGGCAACAGCUCAAAUUUGAAAUCUGGCUCUUUCAGAGUCCGAGUUGUAAUUUGCAGAGGGCGCUUUGGCUUUGGCAGCGGUCCAAGUUCCUUGGAACAGGACGUCACAGAGGGUGAGAAUCCCGUACGUGGUCGCUAGCUAUUGCCGUGUAAAGCCCCUUCGACGAGUCGAGUUGUUUGGGAAUGCAGCUCUAAAUGGGAGGUAAAUUUCUUCUAAAGCUAAAUAUUGGCCAGAGACCGAUAGCGCACAAGUAGAGUGAUCGAAAGAUGAAAAGCACUUUGGAAAGAGAGUCAAACAGCACGUGAAAUUGUUGAAAGGGAAGCGCUUGCAGCCAGACUUGCUUGCAGUUGCUCAUCCGGGCUUUUGCCCGGUGCACUCUUCUGCAGGCAGGCCAGCAUCAGUUUGGGCGGUGGGAUAAAGGUCUCUGUCAUGUACCUCUCUUCGGGGAGGCCUUAUAGGGGAGGCGACAUACCACCAGCCUAGACUGAGGUCCGCGCAUCUGCUAGGAUGCUGGCGUAAUGGCUGUAAGCGGCCCGUCUUGAAACACGGACCAAGGAGUCUAACAUCUAUGCGAGUGUUUGGGUGUCAAGCCCGAGCGCGUAAUGAAAGUGAACGGAGGUGGGAACCCGCAAGGGUGCACCAUCGACCGAUCCUGAAGUUUACGGAAGGAUUUGAGUAAGAGCAUGGCUGUUGGGACCCGAAAGAUGGUGAACUAUGCUUGAAUAGGGUGAAGCCAGAGGAAACUCUGGUGGAGGCUCGCAGCGGUUCUGACGUGCAAAUCGAUCGUCAAAUUUGGGCAUAGGGGCGAAAGACUA
rnacentral:rRNA from 1 species